CUGGGGUUGGAUAUUGCUUAUUUUGGGGGGCUGUCCUGUGCAUUGCAGGAUGUUUAGCAGCAUCCCUGGCCUCUACUCAAUGCCAGUAGCUCCCUCCUCCCCAGUUGUAAAACCAAAAAUGCCUCCAGACAUUGACAAGUGUCCCCUGGAGGGCAAAAUCACCCCUGUUAGGGAACCACUGGUCUAGGAAAUAAGGCAUGUAACUAUAGGCCCCAAGCUGAAGUGGCAUUUCCCACAUGAUUUCCACACCCAGGGAUGGAGUGGGCAGCACUGAGAUGGAGAACUACAGGGCUUACAAAUUGGAGUGCCUUUGAAGGUCUUCUGACUCAGUGGUUUUUAAAAACCGAGUCAGUAAACCAAUAAAAGCUGAAUGCUUUAGGGGAGGUUUGGGGAUAUCUUCCCCUCCUGUUUCCUUCUCCCAGCCUCCCUUUUGCCCAUUGCUUCAGAAACUCAGGGCUCCAACAAACAGGGAUUGAAAACCAUGAACAACGCCUUCAGAUGAGGAGAACAAGGCCACGGAGAGGUCAGUCCAACAGCAAAUCCAGAGAGAGCCAGGAAUCAAGCAGAAAAAUGGCCUGGAAUGAUCACUUUACAGCCACCCUGGGAAUGAGGAGGAUGAUAGGACACUGGAGACUGCCACCAUCUUGAACUCACUGCCUUCCUUCCUGUGGGCUCUGCAUUUUCCUUCCUUCAAAUGGCAUCUUGGGAGCAUCUUCCCCCCUCACCUGAUGAUAGAUGGCUUCUGCAAAGUGUUUUGUUGCUUUAUAUAGGGAAGAGGGUGCCUGGAAAUACAUUCUAUUGGAUAAUAAAGACUGUAUUUCCCUGAUUUAUUGUCCAGCUACGCAGGGUUGUCUGAGAGGCAAGGAACCAAU
rnacentral:lncRNA from 1 species